AGAGCGAACGCUGGCGGCAGGCCUAACACAUGCAAGUCGAACGGACCCUUCGGGGUUAGUGGCGGACGGGUGAGUAACACGUGGGAACGUGCCUUUAGGUUCGGAAUAGCUCCUGGAAACGGGUGGUAAUGCCGAAUGUGCCCUUCGGGGGAAAGAUUUAUCGCCUUUAGAGCGGCCCGCGUCUGAUUAGCUUGUUGGUGAGGUAAUGGCUCACCAAGGCUACGAUCAGUAACUGGUCUGAGAGGAUGAUCAGUCACACUGGAACUGAGACACGGUCCAGACUCCUACGGGAGGCAGCAGUGGGGAAUAUUGGACAAGUGGGCGCAAGCCUGAUCCAGCCAUGCCGCGUGUGUGAAGAAGGCCUU
rnacentral:rRNA from 1 species